rnacentral:lncRNA from 1 species
AUGUGUGUGUGUGUGUGUGUGUGCGCGCGCACGCGCGCGUGCACGCAGUGCCAGGGGCUCAGUGAUUGCGGAGACAGAAACAUCCUCAGGCAGGAGAAGGAAAUGAGGGAGACACCCCAGGCCCCGCUCUGGUCCAGAAGGAGGAAAUCCAGCCAUACUCGGAGCAGAAUAAGUUCCGGAAGAAGAGGGUUUUCCGACAGUGGCUGCGGCAGGCAGGCCCCAAAGGCAGUUGUCAGUGAUUAUGAAGUAUCUACGAAGCGGAGCAGCCUCUCGUCUCCAGCCUUCGGGGACCAGGAUGAGGGAAAAGAGAAGCAUGAUUCCUACCGACCAAGUUCUGUGAGGAUGAACUUUCAGGACGAGAGAGCGUGGGUGAGGCCGGGCGAGAUCCCUGUGCGGGGGACCAAGCCUUGAAUGGAGCGGGUGGCCCGUCCUUGGGGGUUUCUGAGGAUCCCUGGCAUUUCAGAGGGAAAUCUCAACUUCUCCCCUGCAUUUGUUUUAAAAUCCUCUCAUCCUUGGGGCGCCUGGGUGGCGCAGUCGGUUAAGCGUCCGACUUCAGCCAGGUCACGAUCUCGCGGUCCGUGAGUUCAAGCCCCGCGUCAGGCUCUGGGCUGAUGGCUCAGAGCCUGGAGCCUGUUUCCGAUUCUGUGUCUCCCUCUCUCUCUGCCCCUCCCCCGUUCAUGCUCUGUCUCUCUCUGUCCCAAAAAUAAAUAAACGUUGAAAAAAAAAAUUAAAAAAAAA